GCAGGAGGUCGGCCUCUCAACUUGAGCGCUAAGCGCAGGGCCGAGGGAAGCAACCCGCGUCGUAAGCCGCCUUUUCAGCUGCCACGCGCGCCAGGCUGGCAAGAGAAAGCAAGAAAUGAGAGAAAAGUACCAGAGGAUAAGUGGGGGAAACCGAAAACAAUAAAAUGGGAGAGCUACAGCCAAAUAUACGGCAAUUAUAUUAAAUGUGAGCAGAUUAGAUACUCUAAUUGAAAGACAAACAUUAACACAUUGGAUAAAAAAAUGAAUAAGCCCAAUCAUAUGCUGCUUACAAGAGAGACAUGUCCCAUAUAAGGAUGCAGAACUGAGGAGAGUAGAAGAACGGAAAAAGUUAUACCUCGCAAAUACUAACCCAAAGUAAACUGGUGUAGUUACAUUAAUAUCAGCAAGAGUAGAGUUUAAUGGAAAAAGCAAUGCUAAAGAUAAAGAGAGAUAGUCACAGUGAAGAAAACGUUCAGUUUAUCAAGCAGAUACAAUUCUAAAUCUCCAUGCAACUGAUAACAUAGCCUCAAGAUGUAUAAAGGAAAACUCAAGAGAACUAAAAGGAGAAAGAGACAGCCCACAAUCCCUCUUUCAGUAAUUGACAGCACAAGCAGAUAAAAGAUUGGUGAGAACUUCAAAUAUCUGCAGGACCAUCACAGGAGUGACACUGCAUUCUUUUUAUGGCAUCCUAUUAUGUGCCUCAGGGUUUUUUGCUUGUCUCAUUUCUGAUAGCCUAACUAAAAUGAUGUCUGCUAGGUUUCCCCGCUGUAAAAUUACUCUUUUCCCAUUUGUAAUUAACGAGUAUUUUGUGGGGGAGUUACUUUGAAAUAUGUAAAUAUCCAACUCUUUAUCAAACUUUCCAUUUAUUCAUUUGUUUAUUUAUGUCAACAUAGACUUGUGGAUUCCUGUUGCAUUCAGUGGGUUAUAUCAAUAUAGCCAUAGGACCAAUAUCAGUGUAUUACAAUCAAUAUUCAUUAUGAUGCCCAGAUUUCUCUAGACUUGGCCAGUGGGCACUUCUUUUGAUUUGUUCCCUUGUUCUUUGCACACUUCCUUACUUUUU
rnacentral:lncRNA from 1 species